UCAGUUUCAAUCUCCGCUGGUCCU
rnacentral:siRNA from 1 species